rnacentral:rRNA from 1 species
GACGAGCCUCACAAACGUUAUUCGGAAUUACUGGGCUUAAAGGGUGCGUAGGCGGUGCGGAAAGUUGGGUGUGAAAUCCCUCGGCUCAACCGAGGAACUGCGCUCAAAACUACCGCACUCGAGGAAGAUAGAGGUGAGCGGAACUUACGGUGGAGCGGUGAAAUGCGUUGAUAUCGUAAGGAACACCCGUGGCGAAAGCGGCUCACUGGGUCUUAUCUGACGCUGAUGCACGAAAGCUAGGGGAGCAAACGGG